CGUGGAGCGAUUUGUCUGGUUUAUUCCGAUAACGAGCGAGACUCUGGCCUACUAAAUAGUUGGCGCAUUGUCACUGUGCGUACAACUUCUUAGAGGGAUUUUCGGUGUUCAGCCGCACGAAAUUGAGCAAUAACAGGUCUGUGAUGCCCUUAGAUGUCCGGGGCUGCACGCGCGCUACACUGGCAAAAUCAGCGUGCUUGUCCUUCCCCGAAAGGGGUUGGUAAACCCGUGAAAAUUUGCCGUGAUUGGGAUCGGACAUUGCAAUUAUUGUCCGUGAACGAGGAAUUCCUUGUAGGGGCGAGUCAUCAACUCGCUCUGAUACGUCCCUGCCCUUUGUAC
rnacentral:rRNA from 1 species